CGCUAGCUACAGGCUUAACACAUGCAAGUCGAGGGGCAGCAUGGUCUUAGCUUGCUAAGGCCGAUGGCGACCGGCGCACGGGUGAGUAACACGUAUCCAACCUGCCGUCUACUCUUGGACAGCCUUCUGAAAGGAAGAUUAAUACAAGAUGGCAUCAUGAGUCCGCAUGUUCACAUGAUUAAAGGUAUUCCGGUAGACGAUGGGGAUGCGUUCCAUUAGAUAGUAGGCGGGGUAACGGCCCACCUAGUCUUCGAUGGAUAGGGGUUCUGAGAGGAAGGUCCCCCACAUUGGAACUGAGACACGGUCCAAACUCCUACGGGAGGCAGCAGUGAGGAAUAUUGGUCAAUGGGCGAGAGCCUGAACCAGCCAAGUAGCGUGAAGGAUGACUGCCCUAUGGGUUGUAAACUUCUUUUAUAAAGGAAUAAAGUCGGGUAUGGAUACCCGUUUGCAUGUACUUUAUGAAUAAGGAUCGGCUAACUCCGUGCCGGCAGCCGCGGUAAUACGGAGGAUCCGAGCGUUAUCCGGAUUUAUUGGGUUUAAAGGGAGCGUAGAUGGAUGUUUAAGUCAGUUGUGAAAGUUUGCGGCUCAACCGUAAAAUUGCAGUUGAUACUGGAUAUCUUGAGUGCAGUUGAGGCAGGCGGAAUUCGUGGUGUAGCGGUGAAAUGCUUAGAUAUCACGAAGAACUCCGAUUGCGAAGGCAGCCUGCUAAGCUGCAACUGACAUUGAGGCUCGAAAGUGUGGGUAUCAAACAGGAUUAGAUACCCUGGUAGUCCACACGGUAAACGAUGAAUACUCGCUGUUUGCGAUAUACAGCAAGCGGCCAAGCGAAAGCGUUAAGUAUUCCACCUGGGGAGUACGCCGGCAACGGUGAAACUCAAAGGAAUUGACGGGGGCCCGCACAAGCGGAGGAACAUGUGGUUUAAUUCGAUGAUACGCGAGGAACCUUACCCGGGCUUAAAUUGCAGAUGAAUUACGGUGAAAGCCGUAAGCCGCAAGGCAUCUGUGAAGGUGCUGCAUGGUUGUCGUCAGCUCGUGCCGUGAGGUGUCGGCUUAAGUGCCAUAACGAGCGCAACCCUUGUUGUCAGUUACUAACAGGUUCCGCUGAGGACUCUGACAAGACUGCCAUCGUAAGAUGUGAGGAAGGUGGGGAUGACGUCAAAUCAGCACGGCCCUUACGUCCGGGGCUACACACGUGUUACAAUGGGGGGUACAGAGGGCCGCUACCACGCGAGUGGAUGCCAAUCCCCAAAACCUCUCUCAGUUCGGACUGGAGUCUGCAACCCGACUCCACGAAGCUGGAUUCGCUAGUAAUCGCGCAUCAGCCACGGCGCGGUGAAUACGUUCCCGGGCCUUGUACACACCGCCCGUCAAGCCAUGGGAGCCGGGGGUACCUGAAGUGCGUAACCGCGAGGAGCGCCCUAGGGUAAAACUGGA
rnacentral:rRNA from 1 species